UGGGGAAUUUUGCACAAUGGGGGAAACCCUGAUGCAGCGACGCCGCGUGAUUUAGAAGGCCUUCGGGUUGUAAAAAUCUUUUUUAUGGGAUGAAAAUGACAGUACCAUAAGAAUAAGGUCCGGCUAAAUACGUGCCAGCAGCCGCGGUAAUACGUAUGGACCGAGCGUUGUCCGGAAUCAUUGGGCGUAAAGCGAGCGCAGGCGGUCAAUUAAGUCUGAUGUGAAAGCCCCCGGCUCAACCGGGGAGGGUCAUUGGAAACUGGUUGACUUGAGUGCAGAAGAGGAGAGUGGAAUUCCAUGUGUAGCGGUGAAAUGCGUAGAUAUAUGGAGGAACACCAGUGGCGAAGGCGACUCUCUGGUCUGUAACUGACGCUGAGGCUCGAAAGCGUGGGUAGCAAACAGG
rnacentral:rRNA from 1 species